AAAACCUAGCCAAAAUUAAAAUAGCUCUCUUUCUUCCCUCUCUCUUAAUUUUUCGUUGACCGCCUCUCUCUCUUUCUCGUCGACCUCGUCGACCCUCUCUCUGUAUCGUCUCUCUUUCUCGUCGACCCUCUCUCUCUGUAUCGUCCCUCUCUCUCUCAUCGUUCCUCUCCGCCGUCGUCUUCUCCGUCUCCUCUAUCCGCCGCCAGCUCUCCGCCAUUUGCAGUCGUGCUUCAGCAGGUGGAGGUCGCGCCGCCUCCAUCUCCGCCAUUUGCAGUCGCCUCAGCAGCAGCGUUCCCCUUUGACUCCAGAAAAAAUGUGCUUGGCGUUCGGAACAUGAGGCCAAAAUUUGUGCAAACUUUCACAAGAAAGCUACGCAUACUCUUGCUAGUUUGUUUAAUAAAGCUCGUAGAGAUAAUAACAAACCUAGCUGGGUUCAACCGGAGGAUUGGGCAAAAUUACUCGUGCAUUGGAAAUAUGAUCCAAGAUUUAAGCAGAUGAGUGAGAUCGGUAAAAAGGCAAGAUCAUCUACUAAGGGUGGUUCUCUACACACAAGUGGGGCACAAAGUCAAGGAAGUGUGAGGAGGAAAUUGGAAAAGGAACUAGGAAGACCGAUAACUCAAGCUGAGGCAUUUAAGGCAACACACUACCACAUUAGUGAAGUUUAGACUUGUGAUAGUUAACUUAUGGAUUAUUUUGUUUACUUUAUAAUUUUGUGAUGGGAAUUAUUUGUUUUGUGAAUACAUGAUAACGUUGGAAUGUAUUAUAUAACUUAUGGAUAUCAUGGUUUUUGUUUAAUAUAUAAUUAUGUUGAAGUGA